CUACGGGGUGCACCAGUCGAGAAUAGUCUACAAUGGGGGAAACCCUGAUAGUGCGACGCCGCGUGAACGAAGAAGCUUUUCGGAGUGUAAAGUUCUUUUCUGUAUGAGCAAUGCUUUAUUGUUUAAGAGAUAAUAGAGAGAGAUAUUAGUACAGGAAUAAGCCACGGCUAACUCCGUGCCAGCAGCCGCGGUAAUACGGGGGUGGCAAGCGUUGUCCGGAUUUACUAGGCGUAAAGGGCAGGUAGGCGGAUAUUCAAGUCAGGCGUUAAAGGCAUCAGCUCAACUGGUGUACGGCGUUGUGAAACUGGAUAUCUAGAGUCAGGUAGAGGUAGAUGGAAUUCCUAGUGUAGCGGUGGAAUGCGCAGAGAUUAGGAAGAACACCAAAGGCGAAGGCAACCUACUGGGCCAAGACUGACGCUAAACUGCGAAGGUGUGGGUAUCAAACAGGAUUAGAUACCCCCGUAGUC
rnacentral:rRNA from 1 species